rnacentral:rRNA from 1 species
UACAGAGGUCUCAAGCGUUGUUCGGAUUCAUUGGGCGUAAAGGGCGCGUAGGCGGCAAGGCAAGUCGGGUGUGAAAGCUUGGGGCUUAACCCCGAAAGGGCACUCGAAACUGCGUUGCUAGAGGGCCGGAGAGGAGAUCGGAAUUCACGGUGUAGCAGUGAAAUGCGUAGAGCUCGUGAGGAAGACCGGUGGCGAAGGCGGAUCUCUGGACGGCCCCUGACGCUGAGGCGCGAAGGCUAGGGGAGCGAACGGGG